rnacentral:rRNA from 1 species
AGCGUUGUUCGGAUUUACUGGGCGUAAAGGGCGCGUAGGCGGCAAUUCAAGUCAUCUGUGAAAUCUCCGGGCUUAACCCGGAACGGUCAGGUGAUACUGUUUUGCUAGAGUGCGGAAGGGGCAAUCGGAAUUCUCGGUGUAGCGGUGAAAUGCGUAGAUAUCGAGAGGAACACCAGAGGUGAAGACGGGUUGCUGGGCCGACACUGACGCUGACAGCGCGAAAGCCAGGGGAGCAAACGGG